rnacentral:lncRNA from 1 species
AUAUACAAAUGGGAAAACUUAUUAGACUUUAUCAGUAUUUUUGAAUCGAUUGAAAUGCAAACCCUUAAAUAUCUCGAUACAAGGAAAAAUGGAUUUACACCACUUUCAUAAUAAAUGGUCCAUAUAUACUUUUUGACUAGCCUUUUUCUAAUAAGUUCUUAGACUGAGUGCAUUACACAUAUGUACAUUGACAGUGGAAAUAUAUUUCAGCCUAAUUAUAUUAGUUGACUUAGUAAACUUGCCAAAUGAAGACACACAUUAUUUUUGCUCUCGUGUUCAUAUAAAAAUAUAUUUUAUAUGAACAUGAGUGCAAGAAUGCUGUUUAUGAUGAUUAUACUAGUUCAUAGUAAUAGAAUAGAGAAUAUACAUAAAAUACUGUGUUAAGAUAGAGAACAGUAACUGAAACUGAACAGAGAUCUACAAAUCAAAUGUCAAAACUAUGAAUGGUGACCCAGAUAAAAAAAUUCCAUUUUGAGAAGUCAAAAACCAAAGUAAUGCUACAAGGAAUCAUCUACAAAAAAUUUGUUCUUCAAGAGAUGGAUAGUAAAUCAGGAAUAUUAGCAAAACAUUUUAAUAAUAAAUUUUUUGAACUAUAUAACAAAAUAAAUACAUAUUUUUUGUUUAAUCUUUUUAAAAAGGUUAAAAUUUGAUAAAAAAUCAUGUUUAACCUGGAGUUGAACUGGGAUCUUUGGGUAUCCAGCCUCACUUCUUAACUAGUUAGAUUAUCAAGGCAACUAGCAAAUUAUUAUUUCAGAAAGCUUAUAUACUAAUUAAUUUGAAUAUAUAAUAAUUAUUAGGCCAGUUUGAUAUCAAUGCUUUCAGAUGAGCUCACUAUAUAGCUAUGAACUCUCGUAGCAAAUUCAGACAGACUUGGCUGAAGCCAAGAUUUAAUUCUGGAAUUUAGUCAAAAAUUAAAGUUCAAUUAUUGAAUAAUAGGUAGUGUCAUCUUAGCAUAAAUUAAAAAUAAUUAUUAUAUUUGAAUUAUAUUGCAUAUUUAUUACACAAGAGAUAAAAUUUGGCUGGGUUAGGUUGAUGAAUAUGGCUGUAGUUUGGUUGAUUUAUGAUAAACUUUCUUCAGUUAUUUCGAAAACAUGUUUAUAAAUUUGUUAAACUAAAUCUUUGUUUUUGAUUCUAUAUUACUUCAAUUUUUAAUUAUAUUAAAUUUUUUAUAAUGUAUUUUUAUUAUUAU